rnacentral:lncRNA from 1 species
ACUUAGUGUAUGAUCAUUAGAGGCUAGAAACAAAUCAAAAGCAAGUAGUUUGAGGAGUUUACGGCCAAGGAACCACCUCUUGGGCCGUAAACUCCAAGUAAAGGGCACAAAUGAGUGCCUAGUGAUCCUUUAGCCUUAGAACAAGAACCUAGAAGCCUUAAACUCAUGUCUUAGACCAACAAAACAAUUAGAAACCAACUUUGGAAGAGAGUUUACAGCCAAGAUGCUCCUUAGGCCGUAAACUCCAAUAUUUAGGGCCAAAAUCCCUUCAAACUCUUCCUAAGGCUUAGUCUUCAUUUUAGGCAAAUACCUUAAAGUGUUUAGGACCUAGAAAACUCAUGAAAAGCUCAAGUGUUGAAGAGUUUACGGCCAAGAGUAUUUCUUGGGCCGUAAACUCCUAUUAAGGGGUCAAAGGACACCCUAGACACUUCCUUAGGCCAAGAGACUUUUAGGGCAAGUACCUAGAUGAGUUUUGGGCUAGUUAAAAUUCUUAGAACCUCAUGUGUGAGGGAGUUUACGGCCCAAAGAGUUCUAUGGCCGUAAACUCCAUCAAAUGGUUCCAUUUAAUGCCAUAAACCUCCCUUGAUCCAAGUAUUGAAGCCUAGACUUGUUCCUAGAAAUGUUAGAGACUUGAAAGGACAAUAAGAACCCUCCCAAGGGAGUUUACGGCCGUAAACUCCAAGGGAGAAGGGUCUUUGGGCCGUAAACUCCCCAAAGGAGUCAAUGUGGUGCCCAAACACUUGUAUAGCCUUGAAACAAUUCCCCUCUAAGGUUGUAGUACUUCUAAACUCCAUUUCAUGACUUGUUUGAGAGUUUACGGCCAGGAGCUUACUCCCCUGGGCCGUAAACUCUAAUGAAUAUGGUCUUUUGACCUUAAACUUUCAUUAGGGGCAUUGCACUUCUUUGUUGCAACCCAUUAGCCUCCUAGCACUUGACCAAAAGUGUUGUCCUCGCGCUUAAAUGUUAUUACUUGUAUAAUUAGUGUUAUAAUCACUAAUUAUUUAUAUACAUAUGUUUCAUAUGUAAUUAGGAUCAUUGUGUGUGUCUAAGUCUUCACUUGACACCAAGCACUUGUCUGAUCCUUCCGUACGAUAACAGCCCGUUCAAUUCCAGUCACAUACUGCAGGUGAGUUCAUACCCCUUAACUGUGACAACCCGAAAUUUUCCAUUCAAAUCAAACCACAUCAAUCCAAUGGAAGUAGAGCAGUUUCAGUGAAAAUUCAAACUUUUGGAAUAAGUUUGGCAGUUUUAGGGUUUUACACCUAAGGAGUUAUUAGGAGAGUGGGUGCACUAGGAUUUUGUGCAACACUGUAAUUCCAUUACUCUAGGUCAUUAGAAUCCAUUCCGAGAAUAGAAAUAUUUUCUGCCAAAAAUCUCUGGACUAUAAAUAGAAUUCUGAACCAAAUUGGUUCAUUAUUUGAUUUCCAUUUAGAGAAAAGCCAAAUACUCUCUCACGGAUCUUCGGGUUUUCAUCCCAGAUUGUGAGUCUACUUCCCUAAAUGUGUUUUAAUACUUGUUAUAUGCUUUAUAACAUUGUUUACAUGUCCAAAACACAAGAUCCGGGAGUUUACCGCCCAAGAACGUUCUUGGGGAGUAAACUCCAAAAUCAAGCCUAAAGGCCACCUAGUCCCAUUUCCGUGUUAGGCAUCUAACUAAGGACUUAGUGUAUGAUCAUUAGAGGCUAGAAACAAAUCAAAAGCAAGUAGUUUGAGGAGUUUACGGCCAAGGAACAACCUCUUGGGCCGUAAACUCCAAGUAAAGGGCACAAAUGAGUGCCUAGUGUUCCUUUAGCCUUAGAACAAGAACCUAGAAGCCUUAAACUCAUGAUUUAGACCCACAAAACAAUUAGAAACCAACUUUGGAAGGGAGUUUACGGCCAAGAUGCUCCUUAGGCCGUAAACUCCAAGAUUAAGUGCCAAAACCACUUCAAACUCUUCCUAAGGCUUAGUCUUCAUUUUUGGCUAGUACCUUAAUGUGUUUAGGACCUAGAAAAAUCAUGAAAAGCUCAAGUGUUGAAGAGUUUACGGCCAAGAGUAUUUCUUGGGCCGUAAACUCCUUUAAAGGGGUCAAAGGACACCCUAGACACUUCCUUAGGCCAAGAGACUUUUAGGGCAAGUACCUAGAUGAGUUUUGGGCUAGUUAAAAUUCUUAGAACCUCAUGUGUGAGGGAGUUUACGGCCCAAAGAGUUCUAUGGCCGUAAACU